AUUGAACGCUGGCGGAAUGCUUUACACAUGCAAGUCGAACGGCAGCACGGGGCAACCUGGUGGCGAGUGGCGAACGGGUGAGUAAUACAUCGGAACGUGCCCAAUCGUGGGGGAUAACGUAGCGAAAGUUACGCUAAUACCGCAUACGAUCUACGGAUGAAAGCGGGGGAUCGCAAGACCUCGCGCGAAUGGAGCGGCCGAUGUCAGAUUAGGUAGUUGGUGGGGUAAAGGCUCACCAAGCCGACGAUCUGUAGCUGGUCUGAGAGGACGACCAGCCACACUGGGACUGAGACACGGCCCAGACUCCUACGGGAGGCAGCAGUGGGGAAUUUUGGACAAUGGGCGCAAGCCUGAUCCAGCCAUUCCGCGUGCGGGAUGAAGGCCUCGGUUGGUUAACG
rnacentral:rRNA from 1 species